UGAGCUUUCAAGAAGUAAACUUAUAGCAAACUUAUUUUUCUUUUCUUUUUUUUUUUUUGUCUAGGGUCCCACAUCUCUCACCUAGAUGCUGCCACUAGCAGGGUGCCCGUUCCAUGAAGUUUCCUUGUUUUGCAGCUGCUUUCAUGAGGUAAAGACCUCAGGCAAAAAUUCUGUAGCUGCAGGGGUAAGUCACAGCCCACGGGCAAGAAACUGAGGAAUGGUGAGCUAUUUUCACUAUCACAGUACACCCACCCUCACUCCAGGACAGAAGCAGCCCCAUAGUGGCACAAUAUGCUGAGAGAGGGACCAUGAGGACCCAUAGACUCCUCAUUAGCCAAAAGACAGUGCUAAGAAAGCUAACAGACAAUAAGAAAUCAUAAGCAAAAAGUUGGCUCAGGACAUGACAGCAUAAGUGGAAACAGCACUGAGCAGACAGAAAAAGACAAAGGUCAUGCUACCAUACCAGGAAGCUAAUGCUAGAAAGUAAAAAAUGAGAAUGUCUUUGCUUCACAGUUUCAUCCUCUUUAUGUUGCUUUCCAUAAUCUUUUUUGUUUUGUCUGUAUAUUGACUUCCUUUUUCUGAGGUACUUACUGCCUGUUUUUCUGCGUGUUUUCUGUUUACACAAACAGAUCGUUAGCCUUUACAAACAGAGGCUAAAAUCUAUUUGAAAAUACUCAUUCUGGUUCCAAACCCUAACAAAGGCUACACAUUGCCUGGCUGGAAAGACAGAAUGUGAUUGUGCUGUAUGCAAUGUUCCAGAAAAUUUUUUUUAAAAACUUCCCCUCUGUUAUGUCACAGUAAUAGUCUCUUUCUUCUUUAAUUUCUGUUCUGUAACUCAUCGUAUCUCUGGCCCAGUGAGUCCUGAGUUCCUCUUUACAGAUGCAGUAGCUUGUAGCUUGUUGCACAAGCUGAAGGACAGAGCGGCACUGACCUUUCCCAAAUUAAUUCUUUUGCCAUUAGCCUACUGUACAGAAGGGGAGUCUGUGAUGACAGCAACAUUUUCACUGAAAGAAUAUUCAGGUAACACCUCCAGAAGAUAUUCCUGAGUUGACUAUCUUGUGUAGAUUGGAUGGUGAUGUCUCAGGGCUACUCCAGACAUCUGUGGUUUGUGUCUGUUUGCUUUGACAUCUCCUUACAGCAUAGUUUUCCAAGCACUGGAAUGUGCACAGGGAGCUAUUUUUCUGCCCCAGUAAUUGCCUUGUAUGAGUUAGCCACUUUAGAUGCACCCCCAAAUGUUUAGCAUUAUCCAUUUUUGUACAUAACUAAAUCUCAGUUUAUAAGGACUUACCUAUAAUUAGCAACUCCUACCUUUCUGCAAAUUAAAAUUAAAACCAGAGCUAAGAAAAUAAUUUGUUCCCUAAUUUAAAGCCUGAAUCCUCAUUACAGGUGGAACUAUUUGUGAGUGGGUCCUUUUGAAGUCUCUGGGAUUAAUUUCAUAAGUAAAGUAACACACAUACAGAAGAGUUCCCUUGGGCCUCUUUCUUCUCUUUCUCUAUUUGUAGAACAUCUAUGGGAAUUCUCCUUUGUUUAUUUUCCAAAUUAUAGAGUGUUUUUAUAUUGCAAUUUUCUGAAUUAAUGGUGAACUGCUUGUGUAUUAAUGUGUGUAUUUAUUCCUUUGGAAGGAGAUUACAAAUGAUAAUAGUGAGUUAAAGUUUUCAUUUCGUUCUCACAUCACAUAUUUGCUGUUUUACUUCCCUCCAUCUCCACACCUGAAUACGUACACAGUCGCCAAGCAUUCACCCAGCAAUCUAAGUGAGGGACCACGUGGCUCAGGGUAUUUUCAGACCAAAGGACCCAUAGUGAGGUACAGUGGGAAUUAUUUGGGAGUUCAAUCUUAACUUCCCCCCGCAGUGUAAAUAUAUGCUUGCACAUCACUUAAUGUUGCUCAAAUAUCACUGCAACCAUGACUCCUUGAAAUACUUCUCACAUUUUUGAGAUAUGAUUCUAUGAGCAAUUCUAAGGCUCAUUAUGGAAGUACUGUAACUAUAGUGCAUCCUAUCCUUAGGAAGCAUGGGUAGAGCUUCUCUUACUAGACACGUUCAACGGACAUAGUCUGGCUUUCCCACAGUGAGUCAGUAUGGGGCUUGCACCCUGUGAAGUGGGGAACAGAAGAACUCUUCACAACUGUCUGAUACCUUCAGCUCCCAGCUUGAGGAGAGCUUGGUUUAACUAAGUACAUCAGUGCACCCUAUGAAAUACUGGGCUCCCUGGCACCAGAGAGCUGAAAUCUCUCAGAAUUUGAUGGAAUUAAGUCUCAGUUUCAAUAAAACGCUGCUGUGGAGAGUAACUGGCUGCCAUAAAGCCUUUAAUGGUGUCUAAUAAAUGUUUCUGCCCUGGGAACUAACGUCUGUUGAACUCAUCUACAAGUAGCAAUGGUCUGGAAAGUGCUGAUACGUUCAGUUGGCCAGUAUCAAAAAGAAGAAAGUUUUGUGGCCACUCAGCGAGACAUACUUCAGAUUCCUGAGCGCAACUUGGAAUGAAAAAAAUUAAUCUUUGCUUUGUCUUUGAGUAUGUAGGCUUUUUUU